UACGUAGGUGGCAAGCGUUGUCCGGAUUUAUUGUGUUUAAAGGGUGCGUAGGCGGCCCUGUAAGUCAGUGCUGAAAUAUCCCAGCUUAACUGGGAGGGUGGCAUUGAUACUGCGGGGCUAGAGUACAGAUGAGGUAGGCGGAAUUGACGGUGUAGCGGUGAAAUGCUUAGAUAUCGUCAAGAACACCUAUAGCGAAGGCAGCUUACUAGGCUGUAACUGACGCUGAGGCACGAAAGUGUGGGGAUCAAACAGG
rnacentral:rRNA from 1 species